CUGUCUCUGGGAUGUUCGCCAGCCGGUCUGAUUCCCCUGAGCCGAUAUCAUCUCUUUAGGAUGGUGUUCUGCAUAUUUAGAGCGUAUGCCUACCCCGAGUAGGAAACCCAGCAAGUAUGCGUCACCUCCACCUUGAA
rnacentral:sRNA from 1 species